UUAUUACGAAUUAGCAACUCGUUGAAUGCGGUCGUGUGUUGAGCAUCCCGGCGAGCGCGUUGCGAAUAUUUUGUUUCGAAUUAAUUUGCGCGCGUUCUAAAUGAAAAUCAUUCUAAAUAAAUCUAAAUGAAAUAAAUGCUAAUUACAAGUGUAUGCAAAAACCAGUGUUUCAAUUUUUUUUUACAAUUUUGUUCAUGUUAAAUUUGGUGUGUGUGCAAAAAGGGUGUGUACUAAAAUAAAAAAAAAUCGUGUGCAGCUGUAAAAAGGAGCAGGAGUCACGACCAAAGCGGAGCGAACAAGAGAGGGAGCGAGAGAGCUCUUGUAAGCGCAAGCGGGAGAGGCAGGAAGUGCAUUGAUUUUUUUCCAACUUUUAUCGCCAUUUGGGAACACGGCGGGAAAACAGCUAAAAGCCAAAGAUACAGAGAUAACGUCUAGAUGCCUAACCUAAUGACUAGGCCAAGAGGUAAGUCCAGCAAGUUCGUUGCCUAAGUCU